rnacentral:lncRNA from 1 species
UAUACUUGUGCUGCAUUCGUUGUUAAACUAUACCCAAUAUUGAUCAAACAACUAAAAAUGUAUUGUUUUUUUUUUUCAUUUUUCUUGUACGUCUUUCCGUUCGGCUCUGCAUACAAACGUAGACAUGAUGGGUGCAGUGUGCGCAUAAUAGAGGUUAUUAUAUGACGGAUGUACAGGAUGUGCACAUAGAAGGCGUGCAGCGUGCCGUGGUCGAAGUUAAAUAUUUGAGCUUUGAGUGCCGAUUGUACCGUGUCGAUUUUCUAGUUCAUAGUGUGAUACUUACUUUUUUUACAAAAAAAUAUCCAAGAUCAAACAGAAUCUACUUAUAACCUAAUCGAUUUGAGCAAAGGAAUCGAAAGAAUCUUAUGGCUAAUACGGAACGGUACAGAAACAUUAACAGCUCGGGAUGACGCUGGCAAACGACCAAACCCACGCCUCUGUUAUUUUGAUGUUGGAACCCACAAUCUACCAUCUACCAUCCUACCCCUGCUUCACUAAGCACGCUUCGCUUGUGGGAGCAUAGAUGCCACUUAAGUGGUACGGAAAACAGCGGUCUCUCGUGCCGUUACUAACGUUUGCGUGCUGCUUAGCUGAAGCCGUCUGGUUGGUUCAGGAGUUUUACACUCCGGUAGGUCGACACUGUCGCUGUGUCGUUUGGGCGGCAAUGCCGUUAUUUAGAACAGGCAGCGACGGUGUCCUGCUUCAUUUAUGGGUGAUAAAGCAACGGUCAUGAACAGGGUGACGAAGGCAUGAAAUGCAGUGUAUUAUUGAUGCUACUUGCAUUUUGGAACCCUCUAUAGAAUUGUGGUAUUUCCGCUUUUACAGUUGUAUAAUUUUAACGCUUUGCAAUAACUCGUUCAACGAGCAAUGGUGGCGGUGUAUUUUUAUAUGUCUACGAAACUUUUGAAGCUCAAUCAGCUGAGUAUUUUUUGUUGCCUGGUGUAUGUAUAAAGUAUCGCUUAAAGCAGCCAUCGACAGAUCGUGUUGUUUUUAGAGCUUAUUCUAAUAACUGUUAACGUACGAACUAGAUUGCUUGAUCUUAUAACCGUCUCACAAAAUAUAAUUAUUAUCGUUCUUGACGACACGAUAAUUUUACUAAUGUCAAAUGAAGAAUCUCCCGAUCACCUGUCAUGCCACUCUUGUGUAAUUGAUGGAAUAACGAAAGAAGAAUCUGAAACGUGUAUAGGCCACCUAUCUUUAUCACAUACCUUCACGCUCCUACCAGAAGUCUCUUUUGCUUUCAAUUCCUCACCAACUGUUAAAGAGGUAGGUGUAAUCUUUAGCAUCUUUAUAAAACGUGGCAUCACUGACUCCCUUUUUGUUGUCCUAUCGAACGUUUUGCAGAAUUCGCUGGCAUCUAUAUUUAACAUUGUUCGAAGUUUCCUUAGUUAUUUCUUUAUUUCAAGAUGUAAAAGUACAAAGAAAAUCAUUGCCUAUUUUGAGUCGAAACUCUUUGCCAAAUGUGGCAUAUGUUAACUUGAAUCCCACUUUUCCAACGCAAAUUUUUUCACAGACCCGCGACCUUGCUAGCUAUAGUAUUUAUAACUAUCUUACCCGUUCCUACGAUGGAGGAAACGUUGUUCUUGUAGCUUUGAUUGAGGUCACAGAGGCACUUGGCAAUGUCUUUUUUAGGAUAUCGUUUUAGGGGAAACGUGUUUUUUUUUUUGAAAAUAAUUUCCGACUCUAACUUUUUCCUGUUGUUUAGUACAGGUCUUAUUUGACCAGCGCCUCUGAACGGUAUAUUGUAAUGCUGUUUCAAAUGAGUAUUCAGUAACAGUAAAGGUUCAGCAAGGUUCAGGUCUAAGCCCAUUUCUAUUCACUCUCUAUAAAAUUCAGGCCGCUCGUUUUGCCGACCAGUUCACUCCCAUUUGACAGAUUGGCAAAGGCAGCUUUGACCUUGAGAAUGAAUUAGCUAAUGAUGAAUGUAGCUAAAAU